GCAGGGGUCGCUUAGCGGUUAAGGCUGUGGGUUACUGAUCAGAAGGUUGUGGGUUCAAACCCCAGCACUGUCA